AACGAACGCUGGCGGCAGGCCUAACACAUGCAAGUCGAACGCUCGUAGCAAUACGAGAGUGGCAGACGGGUGAGUAACACGUGGGAACCUUCCCUAUGGUUCGGAAUAGCUCAGGGAAACUUGGGGUAAUACCGGAUAAGCCCUUCGGGGAAAGAUUUAUCGCCAUUGGAUGGGCCCGCGUCGGAUUAGCUAGUUGGUGAGGUAACGGCUCACCAAGGCAACGAUCCGUAGCUGGCUGAGAGGAUGAUCAGCCACACUGGGACUGAGACACGGCCCAGACUCCUACGGGAGGCAGCAGUGGGGAAUAUUGGACAAUGGGCGCAAGCCUGAUCCAGCCAUGCCGCGUGAGUGACGAAGGUCUUCGGAUUGUAAAACUCUUUUGGCGGGACGAUAAUGACGGUACCCGCAGAAUAACGCCCCGGCUAACUUCGUGCCAGCAGCCGCGGUAAG
rnacentral:rRNA from 1 species